CACCUCUAGCAUCACAAGUAUUAGAGGCACUGCCUGCCCAGUGACUAUAGUUCAACGGCCGCGGUAUCCUGACCGUGCAAAGGUAGCAUAAUCACUUGUUCCUUAAUUAGGGACUAGAAUGAACGGCCAAACGAGGGCUCAACUGUCUCUUAUUUCUAAUCAGUGAAAUUGACCUUCCCGUGAAGAGGCGGGAGUACAACUAUAAGACGAGAAGACCCUAUGGAGCUUUAAUCUAAUAAUCUAACACGCAAUAUAAUUCCCCAAGGGACCAAAACAUCGAAGUAUAGAUUAAAGAUUUUGGUUGGGGUGACCUCGGAGAACAAAAAAUCCUCCGAAAGAUUUUAACCUAGACCCACAAGUCAAAGCAAUAUAAUUUAUCCAAUUGACCCAAUUAAUUUGAUCAACGGACCAAGUUACCCUAGGGAUAACAGCGCAAUCCUAUUCAAGAGUCCAUAUCGACAAUUAGGGUUUACGACCUCGAUGUUGGAUCAGGACAUCCCAAUGGUGCAGAAGCUAUUAAAGGUUCGUUUGUUCAACGAUUAAAGUCCU
rnacentral:rRNA from 1 species